CUGAAGGUUGCAUAUACCUCUAUUGCUUACCCAUUUUUAUUAAAACAUUGUUUUUAAUUGUUUAUUUCAUGGGCGAACUUGUUGAGAUUCGCAGACAGCAGAUGAGGAAUAAAUUGCUGAUCGGCGGCCCUUGUACGGAGGUUGUCACACACAGCCAACGAAACCACAUGGGCAACAUGGAAGAGCAAUUGCCAAAGCUUUUGGGCCUUUGCCUGGAUUUCAUCACACAGCAGCAAUAGGUCUCUAGGACUCUGGUUAGGUAGCCUGUAUACACUUUAUUUCUGGAAGGUGAUGUGGGUGUCAUGUUACUUCAGCAAGCAGCACAACGCAUACAGUUCAUAACAUUUCAUCCAGGCAAGUUUUUCUCAUUUUCAUUUAGGGAGCUGCCAAUCCCAAUAGUGGUAACACAAGUGCAGAGAUUUCAUGUAGACUAUUGAACUCAACUAAAGGGGUCACUAGUAACAUAAUAAUAACAGCAAUAGCAACACCACACGCACAAAUAAAUUGAAUAAUAGUUGUGAUUCCAAAUGACCUAUUCUUGAUGAAGGCACAAUCUCUACAUUUCUUUGCUGUACAGGAAAAAUCAGGCAUACUGCAUAUCGGCAGUUGGUGAGAUGGCGUGGGAGUUCGUAGGCUAUGUUUGGGUUCCACUGCAAUCCUGUGCCGUCACAAAGAUCUGGCAGAUCUUUAAAUCCACACAUCGUACAGGUUUCCAGGAUGUGAUUUAUUUGUGGCAAAUAAAAGACAGUACACCUGAAUCA